rnacentral:rRNA from 1 species
UGCUUUCCUGGCGGCGAGUGGCGAACGGGUGAGUAACACAUCGGAACGUACCGGCUAGUGGGGGAUAACCCGUCGAAAGACGGGCUAAUACCGCAUACGCUCUUCGGAGGAAAGCAGGGGACCUUCGGGCCUUGCGCUAGCCGAGCGGCCGAUGUCCGAUUAGCUAGUUGGUGGGGUAAAGGCCUACCAAGGCGACGAUCGGUAGCGGGUCUGAGAGGACGAUCCGCCACACUGGGACUGAGACACGGCCCAGACUCCUACGGGAGGCAGCAGUGGGGAAUCUUGGACAAUGGGGGCAACCCUGAUCCAGCAAUGCCGCGUGGGUGAAGAAGGCCUUCGGGUUGUAAAGCCCUUUCGGCAGGGAAGAAAUCGGCGGGGCGAAUAACCCUGCUGGAUGACGGUACCUGCAGAAGAAGCACCGGCUAACUACGUGCCAGCAGCCGCGGUAAUACGUAGGGUGCGAGCGUUAAUCGGAUUUACUGGGCGUAAAGCGUGCGCAGGCGGCCCGUUAAGACAGGUGUGAAAUCCCUGGGCUCAACCUAGGAAUUGCGCUUGUGACUGGCGGGCUCGAGUACGGUAGAGGGGGGUGGAAUUCCUGGU